UCAGCUACUGCGGGGCGCUGGAUGAGGAGUGUCCCCUGCAGGGGGCCGGCCAUCAACUUCGAGGCCACAAGGAUUUCCUGCACAUCAAGGAGAAAUACAGCAACGACUGGUGGAUCGGCGCGCUUAGUGAAGGAGAGGGGGGACAUCGCCUUCAUCCCCAGCCCCCAGCGCCUCGAGGCCGUGAGGCUCAAACAGGAGCAGAAGGCGCGGAGAGCUGGGAACGCUCCGGGCAUUGGGGACAGUGGGAGCCGGCGAUCACCCCCCCCUUAUUAGG